AACAGAGACGGUGGCUUCAGCCAUAGAGUGGGCUUUGGCGGAGCUGAUGCAUUGCCCGGAGGAGCUGAAACGGGUCCAGCAGGAGCUUGCCGACGUCGUUGGUCUUGAUCGGCGCCUGGAGGAAAAAGACAUAGAGAAGCUCACCUACCUCAAGUGUGUCAUUAAGGAGACCCUGCGGCUCCACCCGCCAAUUCCUCUUCUCCUCCACGAGACCGCCGAGGACACCGACGUCGCCGGCUACCUCAUCCCCAAGAAGUCGCGCGUGAUGAUCAACGCCUGGGCUAUCGGCAGAGAUCCCACCUCAUGGGAUGAACCGGACUCAUUCAAACCUUCCCGAUUCCUGAACCAGGGCAUGCCCGACUUCAAGGGCAGCAACUUCGAGUUCAUCCCGUUCGGAUCGGGCCGGAGAUCAUGCCCUGGGAUGCAGCUCGGACUGUACGCUUUGGAGCUGGGAGUGGCGCAUUUGCUCCACUGCUUCAGCUGGUCGUUGCCCGAUGGAAUGAAACC
rnacentral:lncRNA from 1 species